rnacentral:lncRNA from 1 species
UGCUAUGAUUGAUCUGUUGAUAUCAUAUUAAUCCUUCUUAACCUGUAAUUGCCAUGCUAUUGUCUCUCUUGAUUGCUCUUGGUUGUUGUGAUCUUGCAAGUACAUUCAAUGUACUGACCUGGCGUGUCAUGCCAGUUUGCAGGUCAUGCCGGAUUUGCGUGCUUGUUUGUCGUGGAUUCCUUUGUUUGCCAGCUAGGAUAUGCGUUCCAUCCAGAGUCCCUGCGGAGUGGAGUUCAUCAUCGUUGCCGCUGUUCUGCUGCUAGAGUCAUUCCGUUGCUUCAUGUUGUUCUGCUGCUUGCAUGGGGCAACCGUGGCAGGCGUAGUGUCGCCAUGCUGAUGUAAUCGCCUUGUAUCCAUAUAGCUUGUAAUAAAGAGCUGAUUUUUUCUAUGCUAAGCAGGGCCGUAUUCCAGAAGACUUCUCCUUGAUCUUUGGGCAGGAAUAUGGGGCGUUCCGGUUUCUCUGAGCCAGGGUGCCAUAAGGCUUGGUAUCAGAGUAGGUCUGGCUGUAGGACACCCUAGCCCGCACGAGCGUUAGAAAGCGGUAGUAUAGAGCCCAGUUGGUUUGUUGCACUUGUUUGUUGCAUUUUCUUGUUGCAUAGCAUGCAUAUAGAUUAUUAUCUGGUCAUUGAUAGUGAUCUUGUGAGUGUAGGACGUACCGGUUUCGAUCUGUUGCCUGCAUCUUCCCUAUCUGCAUCCCUGCUCUUCGAUGUUUGCGUCACCUCUGUCCCAGCAGAGUGAUGCCCUGGUACCAAGUGUUCCAGACACCAUUUGCCGGAGUUAUGCUCAGAUAUCGCGUCCAUAUAUUUUCCGCCAUCCACCCAUAUCGAUUUGAUGACAUACUUGUCUCUAUCACAAACCGGGCCCUUCAUGCCGUCUGUUUGGCAACUCUUAGUGAUCUUUGUUAUCAGAAAAGGGCAAUGUCAGCAAGCCCUGCUUUCCACCGCUAUCCUACCUUGUCAUCCCGUUCUUUGGACAUGUGUGAUUCCCUUUCGUACGCUUGAUGAUGAUGUGGUCGUGACCUUUGUGUUCCACCGCAUGAUCACCAAGACUGUCCUCGCCUCCGUAUCCAUCGAGUGUUCAGUCAGUGCUUGGUGUAGCCUUGGUUACGCCAACUCCUUCCACACAAGGAUUCACUUUCGUGCACACCGCCACAACAUAUUAGACUGUAAUACCGGAGUUUCUGUGAGAUUGGUGUGCUUAGGUAUGCAUGCAUAUUAUUAUUGUGAGUAGCAGUAAUAUGUGAUGUUGCUUGAUUAAUUAUAUUACUAGUACAAAUGCCCAUGCGUUGCACCGGGCGAAAAACAAAACGCAAAUCCUGCUCCACGUGCCACUACGAGCGACUUCUUAUAUCCAAUUCUGACAAACGUCGGAAACAAUGUUAUCCUCAUUCUCUAUAAGGUGAACAUGCCUUUGUGUUGCCACUGGUUGAAUUAUCGCUUUUCGAGAGAAACAUACAUUGUGAUUGUUGCAUAUACAUGCUCUUUGAGAGUUUAAUAAUUUAUGUAACUAAAUUACCAUGAAAUCAAAUUUCAUAAGAUCUAUAUGUUCAUACAAAUUUAGUAUUUUCUUUUAUUUUGAGAAAUGUAACUAAAUUUGUAAUAGUAACAAAAAUAGUUAAAAAUCUACACAUAUACUAUCAAAGCUUUAAAGAAAAAAAACUCAAAGCAGUAGUAGAUAAGCACAAAUGGUCACAAAUUUAUUUUUUCUUGGUGCACUAAAAUAAACGCAGAAUAAGUUUAAAAACAUGAAUGAAAUGUUUGCAAAGUUUGGAUAUGAAAAGAGAAGUCUGCAAGGUUUGCGGUUGCAAGGCUGCUUGUGCUUCACGAUAUGUCCGUGAGUAUCAGCUAGUUAAGUAAAGAAGAUUCUACAUACUCCUGCAGUUAGACUUUUAGUUGGAGACCUGCAGAUAGAAAGCAUGGCCUGCCACCGUCGGUACUGUGAUCGAUAAAGAAAGUUAUGUAAUCCUUAUAGCAUCUUAUGUAAGACACCUGCACAGCAAAUUAAAUGCAUGAAGAAGAAAAAAAAAUACUAAACUCAAACCAGAAAGAGAAACUAAGAUAACUUAAUGGAUUCCUAAUCCCAGUGUAUAUGCAUUUUGCAUUCUUUCAGGCUAAAAAGUUCUAGCAAACUGAAAGCAUCACCAAGUAACCACGAUUCUAAUCAAACAUCAUGCAUGUCAAGCUGCUAUCUCCGCCUCCCCAAUUAAUGCCCGCCACUGUCAAUGGCACAUUAGAAUCGCAAUUCUUUCCUUCCAUCCCCAUCCACAGACUAUGCAGAUUUGUUUUUUGAACUUCUGAAAGUUCGAAUUCUUAAUCCAGUGACUCUUGUUCUAUCUUUGUAUGCAUGAGGUAAAAAAAGUUACUGAGCAGUACCUCAAGAAAACCAGAAGGUUAUGCAAUGUUGAACUAAAACCACGACAAGAAUUAUGUAACGGAAGGAGUACAGAGUGAUGUCAGUACGUGAUGAUUAUUUCCUGGACAUAAUGUAUACUGAGUGUAGUUUUCAGAUGACAAACAAUAUAAGCACAGAUUCAAAAUAGAAAGAUGUCUAAACUAAGACUAACGACCACACCGACUGAACAAAUCUACUGGAAGAUCAGAGAAGUUGUGCAACAAUAAAAGCAAGACCAGGAUAGAAUAGUACACAAGGUUGUCACACUUACAUCAGAAUUACUUGUGCUCCUAUCAUCAACCCUCACUGUCAUAGAAUUCACCUCAGCUUUUUCAGCAACGGAAGAAAUGUAGUUACCUCCCUGCAAAAAAGUUGAGUUACCAAUUGCAGGAAACAAAUUGCACCACAAGGAAACAUAUUUAUUGCCAUGAAACAUGAUCAAAAGGACCAAAUACUAUUUACUCGGAUUGUUAGUGUAAUCCUACCAUAUCCUUAAAGCCUAAAGAAAUUGGCUGUGAACCACAAUAACCAAACAACAAUAAAAAAAUGAAUUAUUCCUAUGCAAGCUUACAGAUAUAUUUUAGUGGCUGUUGCAGAGUUAAAUGGGUUACACAGAGAAUUACAUAGUAGACUAUAUAUGCUGAAGAACCAUGAGCAUGGAGAUGUACUAAAUUUUUGACUAUCAAGUAGAAGGGAAAGAAGUAGAGAUAGCACAGUAGAAGAGGAAGGGGCAGCUCCAAUAUAUCUACUGGGAAGCCUUAAAAAAUAAGAAUCCUACUGUACUAAGCUCACAAAAUUGGCUCGGAAGAUCGUAUGAUUAGAAUAACCAAUAGGAUUUUACCUGGUUGAAGCACACAACAAAAGACUCCAUACAUUUUCUUCAAGAAAUUCAUUGAACGUUCGGUGUGCGACAACAAUGGAACCAUAACUGGAUUAGUAAUGCCAUAAAAAUGUAAUCGUAUGUCAAUAUCUGCAUGUCACCUAUUUUAUGUUUGAUUCCCUCUAUAGUGGCAGAUAAGUUUGUUCUUAUCUUUCAGACUGAAUUGUACAAUAAAAAUGUUGUGUCAGAUUUAAAAAUCUUAUUUAUGUUGGAUGCCCUCUAUAAUGAACAAGAACUGAUUUUUAUCUAUCCUGAGAACAACUGGAUCGGCAUUGAUCAGUUGCAAGUGCAAGCAGGCUCGGAUAACCUGUAAUUGAAUGCACGUGCACAAAAUUUUCUGGUACAAUAGUAGUUACUUCACAGAACAAUAAGCUAAAUGUUGUUACAAUUUCUGUUCUAAUAAGUUGAAGGUUUUGUUAGCAUGACCAACUUUAGUUCAGGUGUCACAAAAAACAUUAGUUCAAGAUUUUGAAACAGUUAGUCAGCUUAACCGACAGACUAAAUCCAUACUUCACUCACCACGGGCAUCCAAGCAUCCAGCUUAUUUGCAUAUUGAAUUGCAAAUGUAAUCAAAGGGGCGUAGGGAUGGAGGUGCAAGUUAGCCCUGACAGGCAUAAAAUUCUGGAUCACACCCACAUAUCCUGGUCCAAUUUUCCAAGAGGGGUCUUCUUUAUCACCCAGAUGUCUGGUGUUAAGAAGUUCUCUUGGAGAGUGUCCUCAUUCCACCACCUACUGUCAGCAGAAAACAGUUCACUCAGCUUCCUCACCCUUGAAAUUCCCUGGGAUGUGCCAUCUCAAAUUCUCUUCACUAAGCCUAUUUCAAGUGCUCUCCUCCUUUUCAGGAUUGCCUCCCAAGUUGUGCGAACUAUUGAGCUUAGAUCUCACGUUAAUAAAAAAUCACUAUUAGAAGUACAAUGUGCAGCCAAUUGGUGUGCUAAAAAAACUAGAGCACCUUGUAACAACAAACCGGUUAACUGCUCCCCUAUAGAAUGUUUUGCCACCAAAUCUGCACUUCUAUUUUGAUCUCACUUAACUAAUUGACAAUGUGUGCCACAGUAGAGCAAUCUGAAUCCCUGCUUUAAACUGAACUAAUCCUAUGUAUAUGAUUAUGACAAGAGUUGCAAAGCACGUGAUUUUACAGUUAGCUUUCUACUAAUCGCUAGACUAUCACAAAUCACGGUUCCAUCUGUACCAGAAUCUCGGUCAAGAAACCAAUAUAAAGUUGCCAAGCCAGAGUCAGUGUAUUAAUCCUCUAUCUCUUUUAUUCAUUUAGCAUUCACAUUAGUAAAAAAGUACAGGCAGGUAAAAAAGUACAGGCAGGUAAUAUAGCUUGAUGUCACAGAUUUGCUUACAGCUAGGUGUGGUUAGCUUGAGGGUGCGGAAGCAAAUGUCGUAGAGCGCCUUGUUGUCCAGCACCAUGCACUCGUCGGCGUUCUCCACCAGCUGGUGAACCGAGAGAGUGAUGUUGUAGGGCUCGACCACCGUGUCAGAGACCUUUGGAGAUGGGAACACGGAGAAGGUGAGCAUCAUCCGGCCCGGGUACUCCUCCCUGAUCUUGGAACCGGUGCCCCCGCCGAGGGAGUGGCACACCUGGAAGCCUCACGACAAGCACAUGAACAAAAGUCAAAAUCGCUGGCCAGAAUCUGCUGAACGAAGUAACUGGAGCGACUCCUCAAGAAAGGGGAAAGUACCUUGGAGGCAGCGCAGUUCUCGGCCUCCUUGCGGACGACGUCGAGGACGGAGUCGAUGAGCUCCCCGCCCUCGGUGUAGGGGCCAUUGGCCCAGUUGUUGCCGGCGCCGGACUGGCCGAAGACAAAGUUGUCGAGGCGGAAGAUCUGGCCGUAGGACCCCGUGUGCACGGAGCCCAUGGUGUCGGGCUCGACAUACAUGAGCACGCACCAAGGGAGUUGGGAACACACGCUCCUGGUCGCCGUUGGCAUACAUGAGAUGGUGGAGGCGCCGGUCGGCGUGCGGGAUGGAGCCGGCGGGGACGGCAGCCACGGUGCCGCCACUGGCUUCCGAGUCUCCGUGGAGGAGGGGGGAGAGGUGGGCCUCGAUGUGCUCCACACCGGCUGCGUCCACAUCCUCGUCCCGCAGGUAGACAAGGCAGGCGAGGCGGCCGCGAUGCGACCAUGCCCUGGCAUCGACGACGCUGCAGCUCAUGUCGUCUAGCACGUCGAACACCUCGGAGAUGAGCCCCGUGCGGUCGGCGCCCGUCAGAUCAAGCAUGGUGGCCGAGGCCGCCUCUGGCGACACCGUUUGUUCGCCCGAAGAGGCGAGGUCGAUAGAAGAGGCCGGGGUUGUGAGGGACAGCGGCGCAGCGUGGCUGGGGCUUCGGGGUGGCGCGCGGAGAGGUGCGACGGUCGCUGCUUGUGGUCGCCGGCGAUGGCGUGUGGCGAGUGAGGCCGUCGAAGCGGUGCAAGGAGGCGCGAGGCACGGGCACAGGAGCUCAGGCGCGAGCGCGCCUCUCCGCGCCGUCCAUCCUCCCGGCGAGCGCACUCCAUCCUCCGGUGCGAGGCACGGCGGCCGUCGGCGCACGACGGAAUGGGCGUAGCCACCGGCGCAGAGUGGAUAAGAGGAAGGAAAGGACUGCGGACUGAAUUGAAAUGCCUAUAGGGUUUUGUUUGUAAAAGUGAAACAUUUUUUCUGGGUGCCACUAAAACAGCGACUGCGGGUUGAUUUCCUGUAAAUCGAGGGGCUUUUUUGCAAAACAACCACGAUGGACGACCAGAAGCAAUAGCUGGUUUAUUAGUAGGUAAAGAAAAGAUAAAGAUUAUUUGUAUGUUUUGUUUUAUUUUGUUUUUGUCAUUUCUUUUGCUUUUUUCUUUGGGCCUUCGGUGUUACAUAUUUUCCCUUUAUUAAAGUUGCUCGUCAACCGACAUUGGACCCAAAGAAUCAGUAAGGAGUUCAAGUAUUUGGAAACUCAGUUAAACAAAAUGGAAUUCUCAGCCCAUUGGAGUGAAUGGAGAAUAUAUGACCAUGAUGCUGACCAUCAAGUUUGCAUUAAUGUGCACUCCUCACAACAGUAUGGAUAAUCAAGUCUCCCUCAGUUUGCACUCAUCAUAGCAGAAAUGAUCCAAUCAAUAAGGAGAUAAAUUGUGUGCAAGUAAUCAACAACAGAAAUAUUAAAGUGAUAUAGAUGUGGUAAUCGGUCCGCAUAUCACAAUGAGAAACUUCUAGUGUAAGCAAUCCAGUCUUCCCUCGCAAGCUACCAGAGAAGCUUCUAGUGCAAGAUUCCUCUAGCUUCCUCAGUACGAUACAUGGAUGACUUCCCGUGCAAGGUACUCUGUCUUCUGUAGUAAGAAACUGCAAAAGCUUCUGGCAUAAGCAUAAGCCAUCCAAUCGUCCUCGGUAUGGCAUUGGUGCAAGAUUACACCGUGAAUUGACAACAUUAAGCUGUAAAUCCCAAGAAUAUGAUCUGCAAAAGUUUGUUCAGAAGCAAGAAUCAGUCAGAACACAAGUCUUCCUCGGGAAUCUAAUUCUCAUAUAUAUGCGGUGAUCAUACCACCAAGGUCUUGCAAGUCACUCGAACAAUGAUGAAUCUGACCACCACAGGAGUAUUGUUAAAAGAAGGAAGUCAGAUAUACACCUCAGUGUGACAAAGGACUAUGAAGAUUGACGACAACACUGAGCUCUGUACAAGUACCCGUUAACCUGGAAUAUGAUCCUGAUGAGCCCUUGUCGACUUUUCUCUGGUAACGACACCACACCUGUGUUCUGAGCUAUUUUUGGCUGACCGGGGUGGAUGCCAACUUUAUAUUUCUCUAUUCAACAACUGUCAUGAGUCCUGAGCUGCUUUCCAGCCGUCUCAUACAACUGUUGAGUUUCUUUUUGUGACAGUGGCCCUUUGCUCUGAGCUACUUUUCGGACGUCUUAGGGACCUGUCACAUUCUUCUUAUCAACACGGUCUCAUGCUCGGAGAUGCUUUUCGGCCGUCUUGAGCCGUGGUUGAGUUAUUUCAGCGACGUCCCAGAUCUGAGUUGUAAAGAGCGUUCUGGUGGCUACUUAUUUAUUUGCCGAUUUCCUACAAGGGUUCAGAUGAUCAUUUCCUACGAUUAAAACUUGAAAGGCGAUGAACCUGCCAUGUUACCAUGUCAGGAGAUGAGGAUAAAGGUAUGCAUGUCGAAAUAUUCCCCCUGACAGUACCUAUGGUCCCACAAAGAAUAUAUAUAUGGUUAAGCUCCUCUCAGCAAAGGAUCCAGACAAAGAGGCCAAUAAUGAAGGAGCAAACCCGGCAAUAUAGGUAUGAUAAUAAUUGCAUGACCAACAUGGUGCAAACACUCAGGAUAGUCUGAUUCAGUAUCGAUCAUCAUGGGUAUACACCUAAGGGGUCUACUCCACUCUGGUAAGGACCUCAUAUCAAGGUAACCCAUUCAACCAACUGUUAUGGUCAGAAUUGUCAGUACCGACUAUCCAAGUCUGUCAUGUCAGACCAAAUGCCAGCUCAGCAGUUUGAUUCCAGCGACUAUGGUAAAGCAUCACCCAGCCUACUAUCCCCAUCGACAUACCGACAGAAUGAAUAAUCAGAAGGGUGAAUAACGGUCUUGAGACAUGUUCCCUCACUUAUGAGAAUCAUCAAAGGAUAUCCUGUCAUGAACAAAAAAUUCUUCUGCCAGCACCACAGCCAAUCAAAUAUGUGGAUACUAUCAUAUAAGGCCGUACCCCUUUAUGCUGGCCACGACAGGAGACAGUCAAAUAUUUGGUAUGGAUCUGACACUCAAGGCAGUGGAGGCAGUCAAGAUGAUUCAAAAACUCCGUGAGAAAUCAGUAUCAGUUAGAAAGAACAGUUAUGAUCCACAACACUGUUUUGAACCCGAAGGACCUAUAGUUAGAUGAGAAACCCAAUGCAAGGAGUAAAAAGAUUGGGUGUCCACUAGAAAAUCUAUUCACAACUUCAUGGAAGGUUGCCAGUGCUGGAUGGCAUAUCUACCGGGAAUCACUCUUGGACUUGUGAGACAGGAAUAUAUCUCAAUCAUGAUAACUUGCCACUCAGCUAAGUCAGCAGAUAUGAAAAGAAUUGGAGCCAGUAUAAGGAUGAAACUAUAAGGUACAAUUUGUCAGAAUGUGGAUACAGUGACGCAACCCACCCCAGGGCCAGGUAGGCAGUCAUAUGAAAUUCAGUGGGGAACAAUCAAUAAAGGAAAAAGGAUACCCAAGUUGGAAACGGUUUCCUUAAGUCAGUAUAUUCAUACUUGUUCCCUGAGCAACCAAAUCUCGAGGGUGAUAUUUCUUUAAGGGGGGAAGGUUUGUCACAACCUGAUUUUUGGCCCUUCCUUUUUCUUUUAAUUUUCUGAGGUUUUGCUUCAGUUUUCUUUUUUCCGUGGCUAUGUGGUCUGGAAACUGGAGAAGAUGACCUCUUCUUCCUUUCCAAAGUGGCUUGUCAUCCUCAUAUCCAUCCCAAGACCUUGCCAUUUGCAUCCUAGCCCAACCCCGAUAUUCUUGUCCUUGGGAAUAUUCCUUUUUCUAUUAAAGGAAUGAUCCUUUUUGCCCUAGGUUGUGAAGCAACCUACAUUUCCAUCACUCCUAAAAUUCCCAAAUAAUUCUCAUAAAUUGUUUGGGUCAUAUCUUGCUCAAAUAUGGCAAAAUAUUUCAUUUGCCAUGUUCCUCGUCAUGCUCAAUUAAUUCCUUUCCUAUUCUAUCCUAAAUAGCAGUUUGUGAAACAAGUAGUAUUUACCUUUGCCCAAUUGACCUAAACAUUUUUGGACACCUUUUCAUGUCCAAAUAAUUGCCUGAUGCCAAAAUUCAACUUAAUUUGCCUAGUGAAUAUUCCUGAGCAAUUUUUCAAAGUUCCUAUCCGAGGGAAUUGUUUGUGAAGAAAGUACUAGCUAGGAUGGUCCAAAUGAGUUGAAAUUUUGCAUGAUCCUUCGUAUCAUCAAAUCAAAUCACUCCACAAGAUUUGAGCUCAUGCUAUGCAUCCAUGUGAGCAUACCUUCAAAUCUUUGUUUCUGUCCACAUUUUCAGCUAGUGAAGCAAGUAUAUUUUAUUUUGCUCCAUUACUUUUUUUAGGACCUUCUCCUACCCAUAUAAACUUUCUCCACCAAGGUUUGGAUCAAUCCACCUAUCCAUUUGCCAUGUGCAAUUUUUCCAAGUUUUUGACCAUAUUGGAGCUUUGUGAAGCAAGUACCAUUUUGGUGUAUCCAAAUGGUAUGAAACUUUUACAAAGUCUUCAUAUGAUCAAAUAACUCAUCUAUUCCAAAUUUCAGCUCAAUACAAGCUAUUAUGUGAGUGCUACUUCAAAUUUUGCUAUUCUUGUCAGUAUGGCACUUUGCACUUCAAGUACUAGCUAAACCCCUUUGUAUGAGCUCAAACUUUGUCAUCUUAAUCACCUUAGUGAGUGAUCAAUGCCAGUCAAAUCUCAUCCUUGAGCACCAAUCAUGUGAACCAUAGAAAGUUCCAAACACCUAGUUGUGCAUUUGGUUUUUUGCUACCUGUGAUCACAUGCAUGGCCACUAUGUGUGGUUUAUUCCACAUUUGCAUUAUGCUCUUCUUCCCUUGUCCCUCAGAAAUGAUUUGGCCGAUCUCUGUGCCCUGUAUGUGCCAGCUCACGCGGUGACCGCCGCCAUGGCACGCCAUGGACGCUAGCUGAGCGUCAUUUGCUCGGACCCCUCCCCGGUUCAUCGUGCUCGUGCGCCUCACCGUGUCCAAUAGCUUCCACGUGAUCCCCUGCAUCACCCUAUGCCGCUGCCCCAUCCGGACUCGCCCUGGUUGCGUCGCUUUCGAGCUCGCCCAUGCCACUAACCUCCACUGCUCCUCCUUGUCCCGUUGCCGGAGCUCUCCCGAGCUUUCUCGAGCUCGCCCGAGGCCUCCCGCGCCUCAUGACGCUCCUAGACAAGUAUCCCCUCCCGCCCCAUGCCUAUGCUCCCACCAGCGCGACGGCACACGUGUCACCGCGGGUGCAUCCGGGCACCGAGUUGCCGCGGCUAUUUAAGCUCAUCCCGAGAGCCCUCGAACUCACCAAGCUUCUUCCCAUCCUCCUCUACGCCUCCCCAACCCCUCAAUCCACCCCCGGAGUCCCUCGGUGCUCUUCAUUGCCGCCAUGGCUGCCGCGAAGCUCGGCUUAAAUACAAUCUAUCCGGUCCCCUCCUCCACCCUCUGACCUCACCAGCGUCUUCCCCUGACGCCGCCGCUCCUCCCCACUCCCUCCUCUUGACGCUAGAGCGGUUGUGGCCACGCACCCUCGAGAUUGGAUUCCACUAUUGCUCUCUGCCUCCUCUUGUUGCUGCCGCUGCAGCCCUCCCCGGUACCCUCUUCGCUAUGGGGACGGGUGCAGUGCCGCCCCCUGAGGCCAUUGGUGCCCCUGCCUUGGCCGGAGGUGGCCGGAGGCAGAAGUUCCUGGCGCCUGCCUCGCCUAUGCAUCUUGCCCCCUGCCUCCUCUGUCCCGUUCGGGAGCAGGACGAGGAAGAAGAAGACAGGGGCCAGGCAGGCCCCCUCCUCCCACGGGACCCAUGUGUAAGCGACCCAGGAGCCGGUCCAGCUGGAUAAGUGGAAACGACUUUUCUGAUAUUGCGGCUUCAACUUAUGAAAGUGUACUUAUCUGCGUCUUUUGCCCAGAAUAUGCUUUCGCUAUUAUGAAGACAUACUUUCGAGAACGCGCUUUCUCUUUUUCAGCCCGACGCCGAAGCCACUAUUUUGUGAACGUUCACCAGUUAGCGCAGAAAAAGAAUAAUUUUUAUGUAUUUUCUGUCUAACGAACAGACAGGCGUAUCUCCGCAACCGUAACUCCGAAUGAGGUGAUUCCAAAGCCUACUUCUUCGUUUCGUCGAGCCUGUCAUUCUGAUACCAUUUUCAUAUGGUGUUAAUGUUGGGGAACGUAGCAGAAAUUUAAAAAAUUUCCUACGUGUCACCAAGAUCUAUCUAUGGAGAAACCAGCAACGAGGGGAAGGAGAGUGCAUCUACAUACCCUUGUAGAUCGCUAUGCAGAAGCGUUCAAGAGAACGGGUUGAAGGAGUCGUACUCGUCGUGAUCCAAACCACCGGAGAUCCUAGUGCCGAACGUAUGGCACCUCCGUGUUCAACACACGUACAGCCCGGUGACGUCUCCCAUGCCUUGAUCCAGCAAGGAGAGAGGGAGAGGUUGAGGAAGACUCCAUCCAGCAGCAGCACAACGGCGUGGUGGUGGUGGAGGAGCGUGGUACUCCAGCAGGGCUUCGCCAAGCACCGCAAGAGACGAGGAGGGAGAGGGGUAGGGCUGCGCCAAGAAGGAGAGGAACUCGUGUGUCUUGGGCAGCCCAAACCUCAAGUAUAUAUAGGGGGAGGGGAGGGGCUGCGCCCCCACCUAGGGUUCCCUUCCUAGGGGUGGCGGCAGCCCCCAGAUCCCAUCUGGGUGGCGGCCACAAGGGAAAGAGGGGGAGGCGCACCUGGGGUGGGCCUUAGGGCCCAUCUGCCCUAGGGUUUGCCCCCUUUCCCUCUUGGAGGCGCCUUGGGCCUUGGUGGGGGGGCGCACCAGCCCACCUGGGGCUGGUCCCCUCCUACACUUGGCCCAUGCAGCCCUCCAAGGCUGGUGGCCCCACUUGGUGGACCCCCGGACCCCUCCGGUGGUCCCGGUACACUACCGGUAAAACCCGAAACUUUUCCGGUGACCAAAACAGGACUUCCCAUAUAUAAAUCUUUACCUCCGGACCAUUUCGGAACUCCUUGUGACGUCCGGGAUCUCAUCCGGGACUCCGAACAACAUUCGGUAACCACAUAUAUCUAUUCCUUAUAACCCUAGCGUCAUCGAACCUUAAGUGUGUAGACCCUACGGGUUCGGGAACCAUGCAGACAUGACCGAGAUGUUCUUCGGUCAAUAACCAACAGCGGGAUCUGGAUACCCAUGUUGGUUCCCACAUGUUCCACGAUGAUCUCAUCGGAUGAACCACGAUGUCGAGGAUUCGAUCAAUCCUGUAUACAAUUCCCUUUGUCUAGCGGUACGAUACUUGCCCGAGAUUCGAUCGUCGGUAUCCCGAUACCUUGUUCAAUCUCGUUGCCGGCAAGUCUCUUUACUCGUUCCGUAACACAUCAUCCCGUGAUCAACUCCUUGAUCACAUUGUGCACAUUAUGAUGAUGUCCUACUGAGUGGGCCCAGAGAUACCUCUCCGUUUACACGGAGUGACAAAUCCCAGUCUCGAUUCGUGCCAACCCAACAAACACUUUUGGAGAUACCUGUAGUGUACCUUUAUAGCCACCCAGUUAGUUGUAAUGUUUGGCACGCCCAAAGCACUCCUACGGGAGUUGCACAAUCUCAUGGUCUAAGGAAAUGAUACUUGACAUUAGAAAAACUUUAGCAUACGAACUACACGAUCUUUGUGCUAGGCUUAGGAUUGGGUCUUGUCCAUCACAUCAUUCUCCUAAUGAUGUGAUCCCGUUAUCAAUGACAUCCAAUGUCCAUGGUCAGGAAACCGUAACCAUCUAUUGAUCAACGAGCUAGUCAACUAGAGGCUUACUAGGGACAUGGUGUUGUCUAUGUAUCCACACAUGUAUCUGAGUUUCCCAUCAAUACAAUUCUAGCAUGGAUAAUAAACGAUUAUCAUGAACAAGGAAAUAUAAUAAUAACUAAUUUGUUAUUGCCUCUAGGGCAUAUUUCCAACAGUCUCCCACUUGCAUUAGAGUCAAUAAUCUAGUUCACAUCGCCAUGUGAUUAACACUCACAGGUCACAUCGCCAUGUGACCAACAUCCAAAGAGUUUACUAGUGUCACUAAACUAGUUCACAUCAUCAUGUGAUUAAGACUCAAUGAGUUCUGGGGUUUGAUCAUGUUUUGCUUGUGAGAGAGGUUUUAGUCAACGGGUCUGCAACAUUCAGAUCCAUAUGUACUUUGCAAAUUUCUAUGUCAUCUUGUAGAUGCAACUACUACACUACAUUUGGAGCCAUUUCAACUAACUGUUCUACUUGGAGCUAUUCCAUUAUAUGUAUCCGGUAUCUCUACUCAGAGCUAUCCGGAUAGGUGUUAAGCUUGCAUCGACGUAACUCUUUACGUCGAACUCUUUAUCACCUCCAUAACCGAGAAACAUAUCCUUAUUCCUCUAAGGAUAAUUUAGACCACUAUCUGGUGAUCUACUCCUAGAUUACCUUUGUACCCUCUUGCCGGAUGUGUGGCAAGGCACACAUCAGGUGCGGUACUCAGCAUGGCAUACCGUAUAGAGCCUAUGACAAAAGCAUAGGGGACGACCUUCGUCCUUCCUCUUUCUUCUGCCGCGGUCGAGCUUUAAAUCUUAACUUCAUACCUUACAACUCAGGAAAGAACUCCUUCUUUGACUGAUCCAUCUUGAACACCUUCAAGAUCAUGUCAAGGUAUGUGCUCAUUUGGAAGUAUCAUUAAGCGUUUUGAUCUAUCCUUAUAGAUCUUGAUGCUCAAUGUUCAAGUAGCUUAAUCCAGGCUUUCCAUUGAAAAACACUUUCAAAUAACCCUAUAUGCUUUCCAGAAAUCCUACGUCAUUUCUGAUCAACAAUAUGUCAACAACAUAUAUUCAUCAGAAAUUCUAUAGUGCUCCCACUCACUUCUUUGGAAAUACAAGUUUCUCGUAAACUUUGUAUACACCCAAAAUCUUUGAUCAUCUCAUCAAAGCAUACAUUCCAACUCCGAGAUGCUUACUCCAGUCCUUAGAAGGAUGCUGGAGCUUUGCAUACUUAUUAGCAUCUUUCAGGACUGACAAAACCUUCCGGUUGUAUCACAUACAACCUUUCUUCAAGAAAAUCGUCGAGGAAACAAUGUUUGACAUCCUAUCUGCAAGAUUUCAUAAAUAAUGCAGUAAUCGCUAAUAUAAUUCCAACAGACUCUUAGCAUUGCUACGAGUGAGAAAGUCUCAUCAUAGUCAACUCCUUGAACUUGUCGGAAAAAAUCUUAACGAGAAGUCGAGCUUUCUUAAUGGUGAUACUUACCAUCAUUGUCCGUCUUCCUUUUAAAAUCCAUCUGUACUCAAUAGCCUUACGACCAUCGAGCCGUUCUGCCAAAGUCUACACUUUGUUUUCAUACAUGGAUCCUCUCUCGGAUUUUAUGGCCUCGAGCCAUUUAUCAGAAUCCGGGCCCACCAUCGCUUCUCCAUAGCUCGUAGGUUCAUUGUUAUCUAGCAACAUGACUUCCAAGACAGGAUUACGUACCACUCUGAAGUAGUACGCAUCCUUGUCAUCCUACGAGGUUUGGGAGUGACUUGAUCCGAAGUCUCAUGAUCAAUAUCAUAAGCUUCCACUUCAAUUGGUGUAGGUGCCACAGGAACAACUCUUUGUGCCCUGCUAUACACUAGUUGAAGUGACGGUUCAAUAACCUCAUCAAGUCUCCACCAUCCUCCCACUCAAUUCCUUUGAGAGAAACUUUUCCUCGAGAAAGGACCCGAUUCUAGAAACAAUCCCUUAUUGCUUUCGGAUCUGAGACAGGAGGUAUACCCAACUGUUUUGGGUGUCCUAUGAAGAUGCAUUUAUCCGCUUUGGGUUCGAGCUUAUCAGCCUGAAACUUUUUCACAUAAGCGUCGCAGCCCCAAACUUUUAAGAAAUGACAGCUUAGGUUUCUCUAAACCAUAGUUCAUACGGUGUCAUCUCAUCGGAAUUACGUGGUGCCCUGUUUAAAUAAAUGUGGUUGUCUCUAAUGCCUAACCCAUAAACUAUCAUGGUAAUUCGAUAAGAGACAUCACUGUAUGCAUCAUAUCCAAUAGGGUGCAGUUAUGAUGUUCGGAAACACCAUCACACUAUGGUGUUCCAGGCUGUAUUAGUUGUGAAACAAUUUCCACAAUGUCUUAAUUCUGUGCCAAACUCGUAAUUCAGAUAUUCAUCUCUAUGAUCAUAUCAUAGAUAUUUUAUCCUCUUGUCACGAUGAUGUUCAACUUCACUCUGAAAUUACUUGAACCUUUCAAUAAUUCAGACUUAUGUUUCAUCAAGUAAAUAUACUCAGUAUCUACUCAAAUCAUCUGUGAAGUAAGAACAUAACGAUAUCCACUACACGCCUCAGCACUCAUUGGACUGCACACAUCAAAAUGUAUUACUUCCAACAAGUUGCUUUCUAGUUCCAUUUUACUGAAAACUAGGCUUUCAGUCAUCUUGCCCAUGUGGUAUGAUUUGCAUGUCUCAAGUGAUUCAAAAUCAAGUGAGUCCAAACGGUCCAUUUGCAUGGAGUUUCUUCAUGCAUACACACCAAUAGACAUGGUUUGCAUGCCUCAAAUUUUUCAAAACGAGUGAACCCAAAGAUCCAUCAACAUGGAGCUUCUUCAUGCGUUUUAUACCGAUAUGACUUACGUGGCAGUGCCACAAGUAGGUGGUACUAUCAUUACUAUCUUAUCUCUUUUGGCAUGAACAUGUGUAUCACUACGAUCGAGAUUCAAUAAACCAUUCAUUUUAGGUGCAAGACCAUUGAAGGUAUUAUUCAAAUAAACAGAGUAACCAUUAUUCUCCUUAAAUGAAUAACCUUAUUGCGAUAGACAUAAUCCAAUCAUGUCUAUGCUCAACGCAAACACCAAUCUCAAUGGUAGAGGGAGCGUGCGAUGUUUGAUCAACCUUGGAAAUACUUCCAACACAUAUCGUCAUCUCACCUUUUAGCUAGUCUCCGUUUAUUCCGUAGCCUUUUGUUUCGAGUUACUAACACUUAGCAACCGAACCGGUAUCUAAUACCCUGGUGCUACUAGGAGUACUAGUAAAGUACACAUUAUAAUGCAUAUCCAAUAUACUUCUGUCGACCUUGCCAGCCUUCUCAUCUACCAAGUAUCUAGGGUGGUUCUGCUUCAGUGACUAUUCCCCUUAUUACAUAAGCACUUAGUCUCGGGCUUGGGUUCAACUUUGGGUUUCUUCACUAGAACAGCAGCUAAUUUGCCGUUUCAUGAAGUAUCCCUUCUUGCCCUUGCCCUUCUUGAAACUAGUGGUUUCACCAACCAUCAACAAUUGAUGCCCCUUCCUGAUUUCUACUUUUGUGGUGUCAAACAUCGCGAAUAUCUCAAGGAUCAUCAUAUAUGUCCCUGAUACAUUAUAGUUCAUCACGAAGCUCUAGCAGCUUGGUGGUAAUGACUUCGGAGAAACAUCACUAUCUCAUCUGGAAGAUCAACUUCCACUCGAUUCAAAUGAUUGUUGUACUCAGACAAUCUGAGCACAAGCUCAACAAUUGAGCUUUUCUCCUUAGUUUGCAGGCUAAGAAAAUCAUCGGAGGUCUCAUACCUCUUGACGUGGGCACGAGCCUGAAAUCCCAAUUUCAGCCCUCGAAACAUCUCAUAUGUUUCGCGAUGUUUCAAAACGUCUUCGGUGCCUCAACUCUAAACCGUUUAACUGAACUAUCACGUAGUUAUCAAAAUAUGUAUGUCAGAUGUUUGCAACAUCCACAGACGACGUUUGAGGUUCAACACACUGAGCGGUGCAUUAAGGAAAUAAGCCUUCUAUGAAGCAAUGAGGACAAUCCCCAGUUUACGGACCUAGUCCGCAUAAUUGCUACUAUCAACUUUCAACUAAAUUUUCUCUAGGAACAUAUCUAAACAGUAAAACUGAAGCGCGAGCUACGACAUAAUUUGCGAAGACCUUUUGAUUAAGUUCAGGAUAAUUAAGUUCAUCUUAUGAACUCCCACUCAGAUAGACAUCCCUCUAGUCAUCUAAGUGAUUACAUGAUCCGAGUCAACUAGGCCGUGUCCGAUCAUCACGUGAGACGGACUAGUCAACAUCGGUGAACAUCUUCAUGUUGAUCGUAUCUACCAUACGACUCAUGCUCAACCUUUCGGUCUCUUGUGUUUCGAGGCCAUGUCUGUACAUGCUAGGCUCGUCAAGUCAACCUAAGUGUUUCGCAUGUGUAAAUCCGUCUUACACCCGUUGUAUGUGAACGUUAGAAUCUAUCACACCCGAUCAUCACGUGGUGCUUCGAAACAACGAACUGUCGCAACGGUGCACAGUUAGGGGGAACACUUUCUUGAAAUUAUUAUGAGGGAUCAUCUUAUUUACUACCGUCGUUCUAAGUAAACAAGAUGCAAAAACAUGAUAAACAUCACAUGCAAUCAAAUAAUAGUGACAUGAUAUGGCCAAUAUCAUAUAGCUCCUUUGAUCUCCAUCUUGAGGGUCCAUGAUCAUCUUGUCACCAGCAUGACACCAUGAUCUCCAUCAUCGUGUUUUCUUGAAGUUGUCUCGUCAUCUAUUACUUCUACUACUAUGGCUAACGCUUUAGCAAUAAAGUAAAGUAAUUACAUGACGUUUAAGUUGACAUGCAGGUCAUAAAUAAAUAAAGACAACUCCUAUGGCUCCUGCCGGUUGUCAUACUCAUCGACAUGCAAGUCGUGAUUCCUAUUACAAGAACAUGAUCAUCUCAUACAUCACAUAUAUCAUUCAUCACAUCCUUUUGGCCAUAUCACAUCACAUAGCAUACCCUGCAAAAACAAGUUAGACGUCCUCUAAUUGCUGUUUGCAUGUUUUACGUGGCUGCUAUGGGUUUCUAGCAAGAACGUUUCUUACCUACGCAAAAACCACAACGUGAUAUGCCAAUUGCUAUUUACCCUUCAUAAGGACCCUUCUCAUCGAAUCCGGUCCGACUAAAGUGGGAGAGACAGACACCCGCUAGCCACCUUAUGCAACUAGUGCAUGUCAGUCGGUGGAACCAGUCUCACGUAAGAGUACGUGUAAGGUCGGUCCGGGCCGCUUCAUCCCACAAUGCCGCCGAAUCAAGAUUGGACUAGUAACGGUAAGCAUAUUGAACAAAAUCAACGCCCACAACUAAUUUGUGUUCUACUCGUGCAUAGAAACUACGCAAUAGACCUAGCUCUUGAUGCUACUGUUGGGGAACGUAGCGGAAAUUCAAAAAAUUUCCUACGUGUCACCAAGAUCUAUCUAUGGAGAAACCAGCAAUGAGGGGAAGGAGAGUGCAUCUACAUACCCUUGUAGAUUGCUAUGCGGAAGCGUUCAAGAGAACGGGUUGAAGGAGUUGUACUCGUCGUGAUCCAAAUCACCGGAGAUCCUAGUGCCAAACGGACGGCACCUCCGUGUUCAACACACGUACAACCCGGUGACGUCUCCCAUGCCUUGAUCCAGCAAGGAGAGAGGGAGAGGUUGAGGAAGACUCCAUCGAGCAGCAGCACAACGGCGUGGUGGUGGUGGAGGAGCGUGGUACUCCAGCAGGGCUUCGCCAAGCACCGCAAGAAACGAGGAGGGAGAGGGGUAGGGCUGCGCCAAGAAGGAGAGGAACUCGUGUGUCUUGGGCAGCCCAAACCUCAAGUAUAUAUAGGGGGAAGGGAGGGGCUGUGCCCCCACCUAGGGUUCCCUCCCUAGGGGUGGAGGCAGCCCCCAGAUCCCAUCUGGGUGGCGACCACAAGGGGGAGAGGGGGAGGCGCACCUGGGUGGGCCUUAGGGCCCAUCUGCCCUAGGGUUGCCCCCUUUCCCUCUUGGAGGCGCCUUGGGCCUUGGUGGGGGGUGCACCAGCCCAUCUGGGGCUGGUCCUCUCCUACACUUGGCCCAUGCAGCCCUCCGGGGCUGGUGGCCCCACUUGGUGGACCCCCGGACCCCUCCGGUGGUCCCGGUACACUACUGGUAAAACCCGAAACUUUUCCGGUGACCAAAACAGGACUUCCCAUAUAUAAAUCUUUACCUCCGGACCAUUCUGGAACUCCUCGUGACGUCCGGGAUCUCAUCCGGGACUCCGAACAACAUUCGGUAACCACGUAUAUCUAUUCCUUAUAACCCUAGCGUCAUCGAACCUUAAGUGUGUAGACCCUACGGGUUCGGGAACCAUGCAGACAUGACCGAGACGUUCUUCGGUCAAUAACCAACAGCGGGAUCCGGAUACCCAUGUUGGUUCCCACAUGUUCCGCGAUGAUCUCAUCGGAUGAACCACGAUGUCGAGGAUUCGAUCAAUCCCGUAUACAAUUCCCUUCGUCUAGCAGUAUGAUACUUGCCCGAGAUUCGAUCGUCGGUAUCCCGAUACCUUGUUCAAUCUCGUUCCCGGCAAGUCUCAUUACUUGUUCCGUAACACAUCAUCCCGUGAUCAACUCCUUGAUCACAUUGUGCACAUUAUGAUGAUGUCCUACCGAGUGGGCCCAGAGAUACCUCUCCGUUUACACGGAGUGACAAAUCCCAGUCUCGAUUCGUGCCAACCCAACAGACACUUUCGGAGAUACCUGUAGUGUACCUUUAUAGCCACCCAGUUACGUUGUGAUGUUUGGCACACCCAAAGCACUCCUACGGUAUCCGGGAGUUGCACAAUCUCAUGGUCUAAGGAAAUGAUACUUGACAUUAGAAAAACUUUAGCAUACGAACUACACGAUCUUUGUGCUAGGCUUAGGAUUGGGUCUUGUCCAUCACAUCAUUCUCCUAAUGAUGUGAUCCCGUUAUCAAUGACAUCCAAUGUCCAUGGUCAGGAAACCGUAACCAUCUAUUGAUCAACGAGCUAGUCAACUAGAGGCUUACUAGGGGCAUGGUGUUGUCUAUGUAUCCACACAUGUAUCUGAGUUUCCUAUCAAUACAAUUCUAGCAUGGAUAAUAAAUGAUUAUCAUGAACAAGGAAAUAUAAUAAUAACUAAUUUAUUAUUGCCUCUAGGGCAUAUUUCCAACAGUUAACACUAUUAAAAUUACCAUUUUGCACUUGCCCGUAAUCAGCCCCCUCCGAGGGAGAAUCCUUUCCGGCGAAUCUUUAUGCGAUCUAUCUACACAUCUUCCCGAUCUUUUCUUCAUCCCCAUGCAAGUCACAACACCCACUUGCAUGAUGGCCAUGCAGUAGCCAUGGUUUUCAACUUGAAUAUUUAAUAAAUGUCUGCUUGUUUUGAUACUGUUGUCGUUGUUUCGGUGAUGCCUAUGGAUUUGUGUUCACUUCCAUGCUAUGUUUUUAUGCACCUGGUUAUCAUGUACUAGUUGGUAGUAUUUCUGUCGUAUGUCAUGCUUGGUAGUAGUACAUGUUGGUGUUGGUAAUGUUCUUUGUUGCAUGACUAUGGUUGGUUACCAAGUACCGUUGAUAUGCAUGUUCCUUUGCAUCUAGUUGGUUAAAUGCUUACUUGGUAGUGUUAUUACCAUGGUAUUUAUUUUUGAUGCUAGUGGUCAUGCUGUGCUUAUGGUAGAGUUAUGCUUGUGUUAUUCAUGCUCAUCCAUUGUCAUGCUCAUUCGGAUAUAUGAUUUAUUGUUGUUGAUAUGCUUGAGGAUUAUGUUGCACCCCCAUGCUUAUGUUGAUAUCAUCUUCAUGCAUUGUAGUUGCAUAAUGUUAUUUUAUCAUGGCUCAGCUUAUUGCAUUCAAGUUUGACCGGAUAAUAAUGAACUUGAACAACUAUUGGCUGAGUCAUGGUGCCACCACAUCGAGCUGACUAGUGCAGCCACAUUUUCCUUUUAUGGGAAGGUCCUAACUGGGUUUAUUGUCAUGCAUCUCACCGGUGCCUCCAACGAGUGAAGGUUAUGCGCAGGCUCUACCUUGGCCGGGUAGGACGACAUAAGCCUUGUGAGCCCGAGUUUGGUUAUGUGCACAUGUCCCCGUUUGGGACCGUUUAUUGUUUUGCCACAACGGUGUCCGUUGAUGCUUUGGUAGGCACGGGGCCACCCAUUACUUAGCCCAAAGGGGAGUUGGUCGGAGUGGUCGGGAGAGUGUGAUGACAGUAGAUCGGUUUCAUCGGAAUGCCGAUGGUCCACAUGAAUGGGUGUGCGAGGCCAUGGGUCCCAUGGUGUGGGUACAGUGUGCUAACCUCUACAGAGUGUGUAGUAAAUCUAUCGAUAGCCGCUUCCACGGAUAAGGGCCCAGUUUGUAGUUGGUCACCCUAUGAGUCAACAGUAAUAAUAAUAAUAACUUGGUUAAUAACAACCCUGGUUCGCUGAUGUGAAAGAGAUUGGUUGUGAUCGCGAGAGGAUCAUCGUGGUAUCGUGGAUACCGAGUUGAUGGAUAUUUGUGAUGUUGUGUGAGAGUCAAGGGUAAAGGUCAAGAUCCUUGUAGUCAUGUAAUGAUUACUACGGUAUGGUAAUACUAAGCUUGAUUAGAUCUUGAGAUGAUCGUGUGAUUUCUGUGAUGGUAAGCUGUUUUAUGUGAUGGUUACGAGGUAAGCCGAGCAGAGUAAGUGCAUGAUAGAGUCAUCAUGUUGCAUGGUAGUAUCAUCAUGUUCACAUGUUCAUUGCGAUGCUCAUAUUGUUCUAGCUGUAUCAUGUUUAUCUUGUUCAUGCUAUGAUUGAUCUAUUGAUAUCAUGUUAAUCCUUGUUAACCUGUAAUUGCCAUGCUAUUGUCUUUCUUGAUUGCUCUUGGUUGUUGUGAGCUUGCAAGUACAUUCAAUCUAGUGACCUGGCGUGUCAUGCCAGUUUGCAGGUCAUGCUGGAUUUGAUUGCUUAACUUGUUUGUUAUGGAUUCCUUUGUUUGCGAGCUAGGAUAAGCGUUCCAGCCAGAGUCCCUGCGGAGUGGAGUUCAUCACCGUCGUUGCUGUUCCGCUGCUAGAGUCAUUCCGCUGCUUCGUGUUGUUCUGCUGCUUGCAUGGAGAAACCAUGGUAGGCGUAGUGUCGCCGUGCCGAUGUAAUCCCCUUGUAUCCAUAUAGCGUGUAAUAAAGAGCUGAUUUGUUCUAUGCUAAGCAGUGCCGUAUUCCAGAAGACUUCUCCUCGAGCUCUGGGCUGGGAUACGAGACAUUCCUGUUUCUCUGAGCCGGGGUGCCACAGUUUAUGAUCAGAUCUAUCUUUUUAUCCAUGAAUUAUAUUUGAGUCUUCUUUGAUCUCUUAUAUGCAUGAUUGCUUAUAGCCUCGUAUUUCUUCUCUGAUAUUUGGGUUUUGUUUGGCCAACUUGAUCUAUUCAUCUUGCAAUGGGAAGAGGUGCUUUGUGAUGGGUUCGAUCUUACGGUGC